GACGGAGGGUGCAAGCGUUGUUCGGAAUUACUGGGCGUAAAGCGCGUGUAGGCGGCUAGCUAAGUCUGAUGUGAAAGCCCGGGGCUCACCCCCGGAAGUGCAUUGGAAACUGGCGAGCUCGAGUCCCGGAGAGGAGGGUGGAAUUCCUGGUGUAGCGGUGAAAUGCGUAGAUAUCAGGAGGAACACCGGUGGCGAAGGCGGCCCUCUGGACGGUGACUGACGCUGAGACGCGAAAGCGUGGGGAGCAAACAGG
rnacentral:rRNA from 1 species